CUAUCACUACCGUAAUAAUUACGUUCAAAACUCAAGAAAGCCCCAAAGUAGAAACCUCAAAUCGGAAACCCCUGAAUCUGAAAACCCAUGAUAAACCCCAUUCUCGACUCCGACCUCGACGCCAACGUUCUUGUAGAGAGAAAACUUCACCCACCACGUUAAGGAGCCACUUCAACCAACAAAGAUGAAGACUACGAAAUUGAAAUGAGGCAGACAAUUCCCAUAGCCUAGGUGAAAACUUCUUGGUAGACUUGGUAGAUAUUCUCCUCAAAUUGAUCCCAAGUUACUAUAUAUUGAAAUAGAAGCUACUAAAUUAUUAGGUUUUAAGUUUUGUAUAAGUGUGAAUGCCUUCCGUACGCUGGCCAUGUUCGGUUCUCAAAUGUGAGACUAAGUUUCUACUUUGAAAACAUACCAAUUUUUAUACUUCAUCUGUAUUCUUUAAAAGUUGGUUUACUGGAAUUUUAUUUGCCGGUUUUGAUGUCCAAAUGGAUUGAUGCUAACAAAUUCACCAUAUUGAUUAAAUUAUGAUAUGAUGACCCAGACUCUCUUUUCUCUACUUGCUUCUUUCCUUUUUUUUUUUUUUUUUUAAUUGUGUCAAAUGCUUCUUUAAUUCGUUUCAAUUUGAAC
rnacentral:lncRNA from 1 species